rnacentral:rRNA from 1 species
GAGGAAUAUUGGGCAAUGCCCGCAAGGGUGACCCAGCAACGCCGCGUGGAGGAUGAAUGUCGUAAGAUUGUAAACUCCUGUUAGAGGGGAAGAAUAGUACCGGUUGGACCGGUAUAUGACUGUACCCUCAGAGAAAGCACCGGCUAACUACGUGCCAGCAGCCGCGGUAAUACGUAGGGGGCAAGCGUUGUCCGGAUUUACUGGGUGUAAAGGGCGCGCAGGCGGGAUAAAAAGUCAGUGGUGAAAUCCUACAGCUUAACUGUAGAACUGCCUUUGAUACUUUUAUUCUUGAGUUCGGGAGAGAGAGACGGAAUUCCAGGUGUAGUGGUGAAAUACGUAGAUAUCUGGAAGAACACCAGUUGCGAAGGCGGUCUCUUGGUCCGACACUGACGCUGAGGCGCGAAAGCGUGGGGAGCAAACA